AUCUGAUUAUUUAAACAAUUAAUUUCAUCGAUUGUGUGAAAAUCCAUACAUGAAACGAUACAACUAUACAUAUUCUAAAGCAGAGUUAUGCAUCUGGAGCGUCCACUACUCACUCCAACCAAUUAUUUUUCCUUUAUCGGUGUGUUCCCUCUUUUUUUUCCAAUAAGAUUUGAGCGAUAUUCUGUUCAUCUUCAUUAAGUAAUAUCAUUGAAGUGAAGUUUUUAAUGUUCAUGAAGAUGGAUGAUUCACUGCCACCAGAGAGGAUGUUUGCAGGUUUGAAGUUUUAUGCAUAGUCAUGGGAGAAUAUAACUUCGUAGGAUUUGAUCAUCAUGAUGCUAUAUGUGUUAACCCUUAACAAAGGUUAACAACUGAUGAUGUUCUAGGUAUGUCAUCAUGUCGAUAUUUUUUUGGAAAUGAAAACUUGCUGGAAGAUAAAGUUUGAAAUGAUGAUUUGUCUGUAGCUCAUUCUAUUUUGCCAAAUAGUUGAUCAGAUGUCUUUUUAUAGUCUCAAACCCGAAGAGGUUAUUUCGUUCACCAGAUUCUUUUUCACAACUUGAGAGAUCUGAGGAAGAAGGUGAGACUCAGACGGAAGCAGCAGGAAAGUCAGAGACGAAAAACCCUUGCUUAUUAACUACUAGCGUACAUUAGAUCAAUUUUUCUGGUCGAGCGUAGUGCUUCAAGAUCGCCCAAUUCUCAGAUUUUCAGAUAACUUAACCAGAAGGCCGUUACCUAUAAAUGUAUCUCGUUAACAUGUAACUUAAUUUCUAACUAUAUAAUUUUUUCCGUCUACAUGUA